rnacentral:rRNA from 1 species
CAGUCGCCGCGGUAAUACGUAGGUGGCAAGCGUUGUCCGGAUUUAUUGGGCGUAAAGCGAGCGCAGGCGGUUUCUUAAGUCUGAUGUGAAAGCCCCCGGCUCAACCGGGGAGGGUCAUUGGAAACUGGGAGACUUGAGUGCAGAAGAGGAGAGUGGAAUUCCAUGUGUAGCGGUGAAAUGCGUAGAUAUAUGGAGGAACACCAGUGGCGAAGGCGGCUCUCUGGUCUGUAACUGACGCUGAGGCUCGAAAGCGUGGGGAGCGAACAGGAUUAGAUACCCGCGUAGUCCCUGUCUCUUAUAC